GCUCUUCGCGAGACUAGUGGCAGACGGGUGAGUAACGCGUGGGAACGUGCCUUUCGGUUCGGAAUAACUCAGGGAAACUUGAACUAAUACCGGAUACGCCCUUCGGGGGAAAGAUUUAUCGCCGAAAGAUCGGCCCGCGUCUGAUUAGCUAGUUGGUGAGGUAAUGGCUCACCAAGGCGACGAUCAGUAGCUGGUCUGAGAGGAUGAUCAGCCACAUUGGGACUGAGACACGGCCCAAACUCCUACGGGAGGCAGCAGUGGGGAAUAUUGGACAAUGGGCGCAAGCCUGAUCCAGCCAUGCCGCGUGAGUGAUGAAGGCCUUAGGGUUGUAAAGCUCUUUUGUCCGGGAAGAUAAUGACUGUACCGGAAGAAUAAGCCCCGGCUAACUUCGUGCCAGCAGCCGCGGUAGUACGAAGGGGGCUAGCGUUGCUCGGAAUCACUGGGCGUAAAGGGCGCGUAGGCGGACUCUUAAGUCGGGGGUGAAAGCCCAGGGCUCAACCCUGGAAUUGCCUUCGAUACUGGGAGUCUUGAGU
rnacentral:rRNA from 1 species